CCAUUAGCUGAAAGUGGUACAGUUAGAAGAACGACACGCUCAACAGCUGGCCACCAUUCCAAUCCACACCAUCUGCCCCAAUCAGCUGAAGCCAGGCCACCUAGUGUACAUUCAGUUACAGCUUUUUAUAGACCGUGGCUUUAAGGUUCCAUUGUCGGGUCGCCAAUGCAAAAACCAGGGGGGAGAAUGUGACAGGUGAGACCUGGAGAUUUGGGACCGCCCCUGGUGGGCGGAGCUGGUCUUCGCUCCUUUCAUAAGCGCAGGUGUGGGCAAUUGGGGAUUCCUUUUGCAAACCUGAAGCUGCGAGUGCUUGGUCCGAGUUGGGCAAGUUGGUGUUUCUUUACUAUGAAAGUCUGAUAUGCGUCCUUCCCCUAAACUUCUGUUAGAACGGUGGGAAACAUUGCUCCCGUGAGAACGGUAUAGUGGACUUCAUCGCCACUGACCCACAUUUAUUAGGGUGUGACACGAACUUGUGGACAGAGUACCGAGCUGCUGCUUUGCCAGGUGGAUUUCUGGCUGCGGGCAAAGGACCCGACGCAUCAGUGUGUUUUAAUUUGUUUUAAACUGGUGUAAGCCGACAGACUGACUGCUGCGGCUGUCGAUGGUUUUGGUUUUUGGUUUUACUUUUUCUGUAUCAGUAGGCACCACAGAUAUUGAUCCUUUUAGUAUUUUAACCCCUUUAUUUAUAUAUAUAUAUAUAU